rnacentral:sRNA from 1 species
UGAAUAAAUAUGAUAUGCCGAUCUUCUG